UACAGAGGUGGCAAGCGUUGUUCGGAAUUACCGGGCGUAAAGCGCGUGUAGGCGGCUCUUCAAGUCAGGCGUGAAAGCCCCGGGCUCAACCCGGGAACUGCGCUUGAUACUGUCGAGCUAGAGUGUGGAAGGGGCGAUUGGAAUUCCGUGUGUAGCGGUGAAAUGCGUAGAUAUCGUAAGGAAGACCAGUGGCGAAGGCGGGUCUCUGGACAGUUCCUGACGCUGAGGCACGAAGGUCAGGGGAGCAAACGGG
rnacentral:rRNA from 1 species